rfam:Thiomonas intermedia K12, complete genome.
CUGAGCUUGUCGGAGCGCCGGGCGAAAUUCCCGGCUGAGACUGCGUAACGCAGAAUCCGCUGAACCUGAUCGGGCUAGGAAGUGCGCCGCGAGUGCACUUCCAACCUGCGGAGGGAACAAGGCGCCGGUGCAA